rnacentral:rRNA from 1 species
CGGGGACCGCUGAUUCGGCGGCUUUCGGGUCACCGUUUCGGUGGGAACCGAUUUAAUCGCAGUGGCUUGAACCGGGCAAAAGUCGUAACAAGGUAGCUGUAGGUGAACCUGCUGCUGGAUCAUUACUCACCGUGAU